AAUCCUAAUUUCUACCCAACCCACACCAUUUUUUCCCAAUUCAAAGCUCUAAUCUCCCAUCCUCUUUUCAGCCAUUUUUUAAGAUUGAAGCUGCCAUAUUGUGUCGAAAUUAUUUGUAGUGGAAAUAGGGUUUGUAAUGGAAAAAAUCGACUUGAAUAGACUGUGUAUGGACGAAGCUGGCCCAAUGCUCAAGCCGUAGUGCAAUGCAAACAUGGAAAUUUGCUGCAAAUGAAAACUUCUUGUUCGAAGCAUAAUCCUGAAAGAAAGAUAUUAGUCUUGCCCAUACUACGGUCCUAACAAUUGCAAAUUUUUUCGGUGGAGAGACAAAGAAGAAGUUAUACAAGAUCAAAAUUUAUCCUCCCAAAAUUAGUGAACAAAAUUAGAGAUUUGGAGAAAGAAUUAGCGCAAUCUGAGAGUAUCAAGAUGGAGUUGGUUGAGUUCAAAAGUAUCGACAUGAAUUCUGUUAGUGUGGACAUGAAUUUGAUUGAGCAAGAGGAGACAAGUCUGCUGGUUCAAAAGAAGAGCAAAUAGUGUAGGUUCAAUAGGAAUUUCAUUUUGGUAUUUGUGGUUUGUGUUGUUGCUUUAUUCAUCAGCAACCUAUUUCAAAUUGCGAAUUCAAAUGUUGAGGAAAUGGAAUUGCCAUAGUAGAAUGUUAUGUUUGUUGCC